GAUCGUAGCCUACUUUGAAGCCGGCGGGUUGGGCCACACUCCAAUGAACCUACAGACCGACCGAGCGAGAAAAGCCCGGCGGAGGUACACCGACGGCCCGAAAACCCCACAAACAACGCGGUAAAGCGGCUCAAAGUGUGACCGGAGAAGUUUUAGUUUUCGGUUUGGCCGCUCUUCUUCGUCGGCUUCACCUCGUUCCUCCGUAGACACAGUGUGAGAUAGUGAUUGGAGUUGACAAGACCGCUCCACUACUGUAUCUACCCCCUCCUCCCCCGCCUCCUCUCCCGCUCCGCACAACCAGGAAAUCGUCGAGGUGUGCUUCUUUAUCCCCGCCUGUGACUACCCCGUUUGCGGGUGUAGAUGUGUUUGUUUUCGGUCGUUUUUUUCCCUUUCAUUUUUUAAAAAAUUACCCCACGAGUAUUGACUUUUAGAGCCGGGCUUCACCCUCUGAAGUCAGUCGAAGUUGCCUGCGAGGAGAGGGUCUCCACUCUGGCCGAACAAUGAGUGAGUCGAGUAUUUGCCAGGCUCGGGCCACUGUGAUGAUCUAUGACGAUGGCAAUAAGAAGUGGCUUCCGGCAGGCACUGGACCCCAAGCCUUCAGCAGAGUCCAGAUCUAUCACAACCCCACCAACAAUGCCUUCAGGAUAGUGGGACGCAAGAUGCAGACGGACCAGCAGGUGGUAAUAAAUUGUCCAAUCGUGAAAGGUCUAAAGUAUAACCAGGCCACACCCAAUUUUCACCAGUGGCGGGAUGCCCGGCAGGUGUGGGGGCUGAACUUUGGCAGCAAGGAGGAUGCUGCUCUAUUUGCCAAUGGCAUGGCUCAUGCUCUGGAGGUCCUCAGCUCCAUGGCAGAUGCAGGUUAUGCAACCCUCCCCCGCCCAGUGUCAAAUGGACCUUCUCCAGAAGAGCUUGAACAGCAGCGGAGGUUGGAGCAGCAGAGGCUGGAACAGCAGGAGCGAGAGCGACAAGAGAGGGAACGACAGGAAAGAGAGAGACUGGAGAGAGAAAGACAAGCUGCUGCAGUCCAAGCUCCUCCUGCCCCGCCGAUGGCCCCUGGAGGCCCUCCUCCUCCACCAGCCCCUCCUCCACCCCCUGGCCCUCCCCCUGCUGCUGGCGUCCCUCCCCCUCCAGGACCACCUCCCUCAGGACCUCCACCAGCCCCACCCUUGCCCUCUGCAGGAGGUGGUGGCGGCUCGGGUGAUGGUGGUGGCGGAUUAGGAGGAGGUGGGGGCUUGGCGGCAGCCCUGGCCGGAGCUAAACUCCGUAAAGUAUCCAAGCAGGAGGAUGGAACUCCUGCACCUUCAGCAGCCAAGUCUGACUCCAGCCGCAGCAGCAACUCCUCCAUUGGAGGAGGCGGCGGAGGAGGAGGAGGAGGAGGAGGAGGAGGUGGAGGUGGAGGAGGAGGAGGAGGAGGAGGUUUGAUGGGUGAGAUGAGUGCCAUCUUAGCAAGAAGGAGAAAAGCUGCAGACACUGGAGAGAAACCGCCUGUGAAGACACACGACAAUGAUGAUUCAGAGCCUCAAGGUCAAAGCGAGCCUGUGAGAAGACCUUGGGAGAAGGCGUCCAUGAGCAGGGCAAAAGUUGCAAGCAACAGUAAUGAUGCAGGUGGACCGGAUGACUCAGAUUUAGAGAAAAUGAACAGGUGACUUUCUUCUUGUUCUAGUAUUAUCGAUCGUUGGCCAAAAGAGCUGAAGCAGUUUAAUCAUUUUACUGGAGAAAGCUGACAGAAAUUAGUUAUUUAAAGGUGGAGUAAGCUAUUCCUUGUUGAUAUGUGAACGAAAUAGUCAGAAACCUACACCCUUCCCUUCAGUGCUCUUUACUUACUCAGCAUCUGACAAAAAAUGUUCAACCCUUACACAACAUGGAUGUGGAUUUUCUCCUUCUCAUAGUUCAAUCAAAACAAACAUAAACUUCAAAACUCUUCAAGGAAAUGACGUAUAAAAAACAAAAACGGUAAAACCUAAUGAAACCUAGUUGUUUUAAUAUUGACUGCAAAUCUGAUUUUCCAGCCUGCUGCACAUGUAGAGAUUUGCAGUCACUAUAGUGUACAUGAACACGUUCUUUAACACUUUGUCUGAUGUUUCUGCAGGAGAUCUUGGAAGAAGUGCGGAAAGAAUUGCAAAAAGUCAAAGAGGAAAUUAUUGGAGCCUUUGUUCAGGAGCUUCAGAAGAGAAGCACAUAGUUCUGCUGAGUGUCAGGUGUAAAGGAGGGAUGUGAUAGAUGGAGGUGGUUGAGGCCCCAUCGAGGCCUCUCCUCCACUGCGCCCUCUCAUGUAGCCCAGGGAUUUCUCUUUUUCUCCUACACAUUUUCUCUUUUCUCUAUCUCUCUUACGCAAACACACGUGAACUGCUUGCUUCAUUGUAACAACAUGCAUAUUCACUUCAUGUAAAUGGUAACCCAGGGAACCUCCUCACGCCGCCAUCCAACACUGUUGAUGAUCACUCAUACGUUGCGGCGGUGAUCCCAUCCUGUACCAUCUCUCCCUGGUCAGUCAUCCCGUCCUCUCGUGUUCUCCAUGCGUUCUGUUCAUCUGCACCAAUUCAGAGCGCACAGCUACAAUCGCUCUCGCGUUUGUCAUCAUUACCCUUUUUGCCGCAGAAUCCUGCUACUUGUGUCCUCUCCCUUCUGCUAUCAGACGCACCAUUUAUCGAUAGUGCAGUAUUCGGGACAGUGUAUGAGUCAUAUUUUAGCUGUAUAGCAAGAUGCUGGCAUGCUGGGGAUCAUUUUCUCUCCUCCUCAGUUGGCACAAAUUGUUCAGACAUCUGCUAGUAGGUUAUCCUCUCUUGUGCUAGUUGGAGGUGGAAAAACCAACGAUAAUCGAGAUGGAUCAGAGAACCCAGCUCCCUCACUACUGAUCUCCGUCAAGUGGACUUUGAGCUCCCAGCAAUGACUAAGAACUCGAACAGCACAACUCAGCCUUCACUGCUGCAACGAAGAGAUGUUAGAGGAAGAGGAGACAAGCAAAGGGAAUCUGAUGGACAACCUGAGUGCUGUGAAAGAGAGUUGUGUUGUAGUUUUAUGAUGUGUGAGAAUGUAUUCUCUUGCAUUGCACUUGUUCCAGAGGAAGUGUGUCUGCGUGCCACACUGCCUUGAUAGACUAUUCCCUCUCACUCAAAAAUGAGAUAUUUGUUGGCCAGUGCAGUGGGUCCUACUGUAAACUGUGCUUCCGCUUGUUGUUUUCUUCCAUUCUAGCUGUUUUCUAAUUUGAAACAUGAAAAAAAUGGCCAUGAUGAGGUCAAUUAAUUUGGCCAUGACCAACUGCCUUGAGAAUAAAUAUAUAAAUAUAAUAUAAUAUAUAUAAGGAAAUAUAUAUUUGUUUUGAGGGAAAAAUGAAAUGGUGUUUUCUAUUUAAUUGAAAUGACUGGUGAAUUGGGAUUUAAUUUUUCUUUUUUCAUUGAUUGUUUUCUUAUGAAUGUAUUUGGGUUUACUGUUUCUUUUCUAAUAGAGUCUAGGCUUUUUACACUGAAAUAUAAAGAAAACAGCUUAGAGACACUGGAUUAGAAAUGCCUUAUAGUCGAAUACAGCUGCUUCUUAAAAUGCA